GGGGAUGUAGCUUAAUCGGUAGAGCAUUAAGCUAUGUGUCCUUGAAGGAACGGGGUUCCAUUCCUCGCAUCUCCA
rnacentral:tRNA from 1 species